rnacentral:rRNA from 1 species
GAUGAACGCUAGCUACAGGCUUAACACAUGCAAGUCGAGGGGCAGCAUGAACUUAGCUUGCUAAGUUUGAUGGCGACCGGCGCACGGGUGAGUAACACGUAUCCAACCUGCCGAUGACUCGGGGAUAGCCUUUCGAAAGAAAGAUUAAUACCCGAUGGCAUAGUUCUUCCGCAUGGUAGAACUAUUAAAGAAUUUCGGUCAUCGAUGGGGAUGCGUUCCAUUAGGUUGUUGGCGGGGUAACGGCUCACCAAGCCUACGAUGGAUAGGGGUUCUGAGAGGAAGGUCCCCCACAUUGGAACUGAGACACGGUCCAAACUCCUACGGGAGGCAGCAGUGAGGAAUAUUGGUCAAUGGACGAGAGUCUGAACCAGCCAAGUAGCGUGAAGGAUGAAGGUCCUACGGAUUGUAAACUUCUUUUAUAAGGGAAUAAAACCUCCCACGUGUGGGAGCUUGUAUGUACCUUAUGAAUAAGCAUCGGCUAACUCCGUG